rnacentral:rRNA from 1 species
UACGUAGGGUGCGAGCGUUAAUCGGAAUUACUGGGCGUAAAGCGUGCGCAGGCGGUGAGCUGUGUCCGAUGUGAAAGCCCCGGGCUUAACCUGGGAAGUGGCAUUGGAAACUGGCUCGCUGGAGUGUGGCAGAGGGGGGUGGAAUUCCGCGUGUAGCAGUGAAAUGCGUAGAGAUGCGGAGGAACACCGAUGGCGAAGGCAGCCCCCUGGGCUAACACUGACGCUCAGGCACGAAAGCGUGGGGAGCAAACAGG